GACAGAGGGUGCAACCGUUGUUCGGAAUUACUGGGCGUAAAGCGCGUGUAGGCGGCUAUGCAAGUCGGGCGUGAAAUCCCUCGGCUCAACCGAGGAAGUGCACUCGAAACUGCGUAGCUAGAGUCUCGGAGAGGAAGGUGGAAUACUUGGUGUAGAGGUGAAAUUCGUAGAUAUCAAGUGGAACACCGGUGGCGAAGGCGGCCUUCUGGACGAUGACUGACGCUGAGACGCGAAAGCGUGGGGAGCAAACAGG
rnacentral:rRNA from 1 species